CAGUCGCCGCGGUAAAACGAAGGGGGCUAGCGUUGUUCGGAUUUACUGGGCGUAAAGGGCGCGUAGGCGGACUGAUAAGUCAGGGGUGAAAUCCCAAGGCUCAACCUUGGAACUGCCUUUGAUACUGUUUGUCUUGAGUUCGAGAGAGGUAAGUGGAACUGCGAGUGUAGAGGUGUAAUUCGUAGAUAUUCGCAAGAACACCAGUGGCGAAGGCGGCUUACUAGCUCGAAACUGACGCUGAGGCGCGAAAGCGUGGGGAGCAAACAGGAUUAGAUACCCCCGUAGUCCCUGUCUCUUAUAC
rnacentral:rRNA from 1 species